rnacentral:rRNA from 1 species
GUUUCCGUAGGUGAACCUGCAGAUGGAUCAUCGU